UCCGAUAUGGUGUAGUGGCUAACAUUAUCGCCUCUCAUCGUGAAUGAAUAAUGAAUAAUGCUGAAGCGCGAUAGCCCGGGGUUCAAUUCCCCGUCUCGGAA
rnacentral:tRNA from 1 species